CUACCGCUGCCUCCUUUGCAUCACUUUCUCUUUCAAUUAUAUUUUAUCUAAUUCUUGCAUGGCAGAGAGCCUACUUACACAAGAGAUAUCCGAUCUCUGUCUAGGCAAGCCUGCACUGAGGUCUCUCCCGCUCACCGCUACGGUGGCUGAAGCUCUCUCCGCUCUUAAGAACUUCGAUGAUAACUUCUUAAGCGUCUGGAGUUGUGACCACGCGCGUAAAACAAUUACUGGGUUUGAAGCUGAUGCUGAUGAAAAUGAGUGUAAAUGUGUUGGGAAGGUGAGCAUGGUGGAUGUCAUAUGCUAUCUUUGCAAGGAUGAGAACUUGAUGUGCCCUUCCACUGCCUUGAAAGCUCCUCUCUCUGUUCUGUUGCCUAAGAUUCCUGGCCUUGUCACGCAUGCAGAACCAUCUGCGAGGUAUUGGAUUUUUGUGUUUUUUGGAUUUUUGUUAUCUCUUAGUUUCAGACUUUUUCGAAUCUUAUCUGGGUUUGUUAUCCUUGAUUUUUCAGUUUAAUUUCUUUAUGGGAGUUCCCAAGGGUUCUUCUGUUUUAUGCUUGUUGAAAGAAAUGAAUGAGCAAAAAAUGCUUAUUAGGAGCAAUUGAUCUGAUCCUACAAGGAGCUCAAAAUCUGGUAGUACCAAUAAAUGCUAGACUCAAUUCCUCCAGUUCAAGAAGAAAACAGCAGCAGAAACUCUUGGUAACAACUAACACCCCCACAACCACCCACGGCGGCCGCGAAUUCUGCUGGCUAACUCAAGAAGAUAUAAUCAGAUUCCUUCUGAGCUCCAUCGGCCUUUUCUCUCCCCUACCGGCUCUCUCCAUCAACACCCUUGGCAUCAUCAGCCCUGACAUCUUUACCAUAGAUUACCAUUCCCCUGCUUCCUCUGCACUUGGAGCCAUUUCUCGCUGUCUCACAGAUCACACUUCGGUCGCAGUUGUUGAUGGCGAAGAGGGCAUCUUGAUCGGGGAGUUGUCACCAUUCACACUAGCUUGCUGCGAUGAGACCGUCGCAGCAGCCAUCACUACCCUGUCCUGUGGGGAUUUAAUGGCCUACAUUGACUGUGGAGGCCCCCCAGAGGACCUUGUCAGGAUAGUGAUGGCAAGACUGAAGCAGAGAGGCCUAGAAGCUAUGCUAAAACAAUUCACAAACUCUACAACAUCACUGUUCUCACUUUCAUCUUCAUCAUCAUCAGAUGAGGAGUCAGGAACACCAUUAAAUUGGUCAGGGAAGUACAGUAGGUCAAUGAGUUAUUCUGCAAGGUUGUUGAGAAGAGCAGAGGCAAUAGUUUGCUAUCCCAAGAGCUCCCUGGUGGCAGUGAUGAUUCAGGCAAUUGCACACAGAGUGAAUUAUGCGUGGGUUAUAGAGGAGGAUUGUAGCUUGAUUGGCAUUGUCACAUUUUGUAAUAUGCUGAAGGUUUUCAGGGAACAUUUAGAGGCUAUGGCCUAAAAAUGCUGAGCAGAGGAGUGAUGAGGAGCUUUCUAGUAAGUUUUGUCUUUUGGGUUUCAAUUAUCUGCUAAGGCUUAGAUGCUAAUGUGGUGAGAGCUUUGUUUGAGAAAAUAAAUGAUUAGGACUGUGAUGUGAACAUGGGAACUUUUUUCUUCACUUUAUGUUUGUGCUUUUUACUUCUUUCUUUUUUCAAUUUAUGUGAAAGCAGGAAACUAAGUAGACAUUGGCAGAUGAUGUUUCUGUAAUCUGACCCCUUUUUCCUUUUUAUAUUGUAUUAAUGGGCAUUUUUUCUAGGUCAUGAUUUUGUUAAGAU
rnacentral:misc_RNA from 1 species